rnacentral:rRNA from 1 species
ACUGAACGCUGGCGGAAUGCUUUACACAUGCAAGUCGAACGGCAGCACGGACUUCGGUCUGGUGGCGAGUGGCGAACGGGUGAGUAAUGUAUCGGAACGCGCCCAGUCGUGGGGGAUAACGUAGUGAAAAUUACGCUAAUACCGCAUACGAUCUAUGGAUGAAAGCGGGGGAUCGCAAGACCGCGCGCGAUUGGAGCGGCCGAUAUCAGAUUAGGUAGUUGGUGGGGUAAAGGCCCACCAAGCCAACGAUCUGUAGCUGGUCUGAGAGGACGACCAGCCACACUGGAACUGAGACACGGUCCAGACUCCUACGGGAGGCAGCAGUGGGGAAUUUUGGACAAUGGGCGAAAGCCUGAUCCAGCCAUUCCGCGUGCAGGAUGAAGGCCCUCGGGUUGUAAACUGCUUUUGUACAGAACGAAAAGGUUUCUACUAAUACUAGGAGCUCAUGACGGUACUGUAAGAAUAAGCACCGGCUAACUACGUGCCAGCAGCCGCGGUAA